UGAAUGAUCUUUUGUCUUAAAUCAAGUACGAGAGUAUGCAUCUAGCAUUUAUUAUGAGAUACAAUUAACAUAUUACAGAGAUGUUAAGGCAAUAAUAACAAAUAAAACUUAAACGAAAAACUUCUAUCAAUUUGAUAUUUGCUUAGAAGUGCUAGAGGGCAUGUUUCUACUUCCAUUUAUAGUUAAAUUAGCAUAGUUUACUAA
rnacentral:lncRNA from 1 species